UUUCUGGAGUUUGCUGUUUUGUGGUGUUUUUGUGAUGUUCCUCAACACUGCUGUGGAUUCGUUCUGGCUGGAAGCUUCAGCAUUGAUGCUGUUUCUAAACUCAUUCCGGGAUAAAAUGAAUUUGCCAGCAAGAUGGAAGAUGUCACUUGAGACAGAAGUACUCAAGUGAAACUGCCCUAAGUGUCGAGGCUGCCAUCAUCAUGGGAACAGUUAUCAUUUAAAGGAUCAGCUGAGACAUCUAAGGACAAGUUGAUAAAAUGAUCUUAAAAAAAACCUGGCAGGACCAAUGAUUUACAAAUAAGACUGGAUGCCCUAUGAUGCAACUUCAUAAAUGGCUGGAGAAGAAGUGAAGCGUUCUGCUUAAGGCUCUGAGUCUUAUGGAAGCGGUCACUUGGCAUGCUUUUAAACUCUGUGGCUCAGAGCUAAGAUCUCUUCUUUGUGUAGUUCUUUGGUGAGCCUUGACAUCCGUGAGUACCUGUCUUGAAGGCCUCAGAGUUGUUUCAAUUAUCCUGAGCUAGUGCAAGUACAGGCAUCGAGGAGAACUGUUAUAAAAUGACAGUGAGGCUUUUGAGAACAUGCUGGACUUGCUGAUAUGAGCUGUUUUGUGAUAUGUACCUGCAGAUAAGAAGCAUGAAAGAAGUGGGAACUGAAGCAACCAAAGUGGAUUAACAGUGAUGUGGGGGACAAAGCUCUGUGAAGGCAGCAGAUUUCUGAGACGAAAACACUUCAUUGGAAGGCAGCCUGCCUGUGUGCUGAGACUGCGUAUGAUUACUGUAAGCAGCCUGUGUAACUGAAACAGAUCAGCCACCUGUACGGUGCAGGUAAAUAAAAGGAAUUCAUGAAGAAAGGCUGAUUGAACAGGAGAAACAGCAAUCGCAGCUGUUUACACUGUCAUCCAAAUGGAAGAAAAGAGUUAGCACUUGACUACUGAUGCAUAGCAAGUUGGAAAUGCUUUCCUUUGAAUGGGGAAAGAAUACUACCAGAGUCUUUGGAAAGUUCAUAUGAUUUAUUUUUCUCUAGACCAAUUCGUUUUCUUUCCUGAUCGUACAAACUUCAUGAAGGAUUAGCAUCUUAAAUAUCUGAGCUUUGUAGGCUUAGUUGACUGCAAAUCCUGACUUUGGUGUUUAUUGUGGAACCUGUCACAGAAAACUUUGUGUUCUCCAUAGUGACAUUCCUCUAUAAGCCAUUUUUAAAUGAUAUAUGGAGCACAAACAAUUGGAGGACUAAUAACAUCAUCUUGGCAUGUGAAGAUAUUUGAAUAAAAUUGACUCUUUUUCUUUUUUUAAACUAAAAUUAUUUCUAAAUACUUCUUUUCCCUAAGUGUUGACAAAGUAAAAUUUGGGGUUUAGUUUUUAACAGAGUCAAGUUACUAACAUCUUGAAAUAACCUUAUGUGAAAUUGAGGGGUAAUGUAUAUAAAGAAGGCAGUGAGAAGAAUUCAUUUAUUCUUACUUU